UGCAAGUCUGGAUUUAAUAUAAAGUCACUGGCCCACAUAUCUUUCCAGUGUUGAUCAAUAUCUGUGAACGUUAGUGUUAAAAGCAGACAGACUCAGUAGAACUGCAACUGAUGAAGAUGUUCAACCUAGCUGCAAAGAUCUGCAUAGGGAGCUCCUAAGCUCUGAUUUGAUAGACUCCUCCUCCUGACAUGAUGGAAUCACAAUACAGGCAAAGGACAUGCCGUGGACCACCUGAAUGAAGCUCAAGGACCACUGUUUGGGAACCCGACUUAAAAAAUAAUCAUACUGACCAGUUAACAGAGUACUUUUAAACAAAUUCACUUAUGCCACAUGUAAAAACUAAACAACAAAAACCUUAGAGAGAAAUCUAGGGCUUCUGCCUAUCAAAAAUGCCUUUAUACACCACUUUGAAAAUCAAAACUGGCUACAAACCAUAAAACACACAGUAUGAAAAUGGACCAAAAUGAAGUCCCCAAGCACCAUGUUCCGACUUUACACACUGCAGGCCAAAUGAACUGUGACAGCAACCUGGAGUUCCAACCUUCUUCUGUGACUUGCUUCUAAUACCAUCAUAUUUCAGUUUGAAUUAUUAUUCCUCUUAGUCAAUGUAUGUGUUAAAUACUGCAUAAUUAUCUUUUUUAACAGAUAUACACUUAUUAAAAAAUCUUAAA